rnacentral:rRNA from 1 species
UAAAUACUAAUACCAGAUCGAUAGUGCACAAGUACCGUGAGGGAAAGGUGAAAAGAACUGAGGUGAUCAGAGUGAAAUAGAACCUGAAACCAUUUGCUUACAAUCAUUCAGAGCCCUAUGUAGCAAUACAGGGUGAUGGACUGCCUUUUGCAUAAUGAGCCUGCGAGUUGUGGUGUCUGGCAAGGUUAAGCAAACGCGAAGCCGUAGCGAAAGCGAGUCUGAAUAGGGCGCUUAGUCAGAUGCUGCAGACCCGAAACGAAGUGAUCUAUCCAUGAGCAAGUUGAAGCUAGUGUAAGAACUAGUGGAGGACUGAACCCAUAGGCGUUGAAAAGCCCCGGGAUGACUUGUGGAUAGGGGUGAAAGGCCAAUCAAACUUCGUGAUAGCUGGUUCUCUCCGAAAUAUAUUUAGGUAUAGCGUUGUGUCGUAAUAUAAGGGGGUAGAGCACUGAAUGGGCUAGGGCAUACACCAAUGUACCAAACCCUAUCAAACUCCGAAUACCUUAUAUGUAAUCACAGCAGUCAGGCGGCGAGUGAUAAAAUCCGUCGUCAAGAGGGAAACAACCCAGACUACCAGCUAAGGUCCCUAAAUCUUACUUAAGUGGAAAACGAUGUGAAGUUACUUAAACAACCAGGAGGUUGGCUUAGAAGCAGCCAUCCUUUAAAGAAAGCGUAAUAGCUCACUGGUCUAGUGAUUUUGCGCGGAAAAUAUAACGGGGCUAAAGUAAGUACCGAAGCUGUAGACUUAGUUUACUAAGUGGUAGGAGAGCGUUCUAUUUGCGUCGAAGGUAUACCGGUAAGGAGUGCUGGAGCGAAUAGAAGUGAGCAUGCAGGCAUGAGUAGCGAUAAUUAAUGUGAGAAUCAUUAACGCCGUAAACCCAAGGUUUCCUACGCGAUGCUCGUCAUCGUAGGGUUAGUCGGGUCCUAAGUCGAGUCCGAAAGGGGUAGACGAUGGCAAAUUGGUUAAUAUUCCAAUACCAACAUUAGUGUGCGAUGGAAGGACGCUUAGGGCUAAGGGGGCUAGCGGAUGGAAGUGCUAGUCUAAGGUCGUAGGAGGUUAUACAGGCAAAUCCGUAUAACAAUACUCCGAGAACUGAAAGGCUUUUUGAAGUCUUCGGAUGGAUAGAAGAACCCCUGAUGCCGUCGAGCCAAGAAAAGUUUCUAAGUUUAGCUAAUGUUGCCCGUACCGUAAACCGACACAGGUGGGUGGGAUGAGUAUUCUAAGGCGCGUGGAAGAACUCUCUUUAAGGAACUCUGCAAAAUAGCACCGUAUCUUCGGUAUAAGGUGUGGUUCGCUUCGUAUUAGGAUUUACUCCGAAAGCGAAGAAACUUACAACAAAGAGUCCCUCCCGACUGUUUACCAAAAACACAGCACUCUGCUAACUCGUAAGAGGAUGUAUAGGGUGUGACGCCUGCCCGGUGCUCGAAGGUUAAUUGAUGGGGUUAGCAUUAGCGAAGCUCUUGAUCGAAGCCCGAGUAAACGGCGGCCGUAACUAUAACGGUCCUAAGGUAGCGAAAUUCCUUGUCGGUUAAAUACCGACCUGCAUGAAUGGCGUAACGAGAUGGGAGCUGUCUCAAAGAGGGAUCCAGUGAAAUUGUAGUGGAGGUGAAAAUUCCUCCUACCCGCGGCAAGACGGAAAGACCCCGUGGACCUUUACUACAGCUUGACACUGCUAUUUGGAUAAGAAUGUGCAGGAUAGGUGGGAGGCUUUGAGUAUAUGACGCCAGUUGUAUAUGAGCCAUUGUUGAGAUACCACUCUUUCUUAUUUGGGUAGCUAACCAGCUUGA